UGCCGCGAGCCUUGCAUGCUUGCACCACCUUAAAACCGUUUCUUGUCCGCAAAAUUCCUCCGUUUAGACCCGAACUGGAGAUACACACUUAAAGGCCGCCAAAGCUUAAUUGGUUUGUAUACUGUGAGGGGAUAUCCAGCAAUAAUUCGCGACAAAAUUCUGCCAUUGUGUGCCUUGCUGUUGUCAACAUCGGAGGGUGUUGUACGCAAGUGUUACCCGGUCACUCUGUUGAACUCAUGCGUUAGAUAUCUCAACAGUUUCAACCAUGCUUCCUUGUGUACACAGAACGCUGAGAGAACUCAAGAAUCUCAAUAGUUGAUGCCUGC
rnacentral:sRNA from 1 species